rnacentral:rRNA from 1 species
GACGUAGGGCGCGAGCGUUGUCCGGAUUUAUUGGGCGUAAAGAGCUCGUAGGCGGCUCGUUGCGUCAACCGUGAAAACCCGGGGCUUAACUUCGGGCUUGCGGGUUGAUACGGGCGGGCUGGAGUUCGGUAGGGGAGACUGGAAUUCCUGGUGGUAGCGGUGAAAUGCGCAGAUAUCAAGGAGGAACACCGGUGGCGAAGGCGGGGUCUCCUGGGCCGAUACUGACGCUGAGGAGCGAAAGCGUGGGGAGCGAACAGG